rnacentral:rRNA from 1 species
AUGAGUUAAGUAUAAACCCCUUUACAAGUAUCAAUUGGAGGGCAAGUCUGGUGCCAGCAGCCGCGGUAAUUCCAGCUCCAAUAGCGUAUAUUAAAGUUGUUGCAGUUAAAAAGCUCGUAGUUGGAUUUCUGUUAAUAAUUUUAUAGUAUAUUUAACAUAUAUUAUAUAAUAUUAACAUAAUUCAUAUUACUAUUUUUAGUAUAUGAAAUUUUACUUUGAGAAAAUUAGAGUGCUUAAAGCAGGCAUAUGCCUUGAAUACUCCAGCAUGGAAUAAUAUAAAAGAUUUUUAUCUUUUUUAUAUUGGUUCUAAGAUAAAAAUAAUGAUUAAUAGGAACAGUUGGGGGCAUUUGUAUUUAACAGUCAGAGGUGAAAUUCUUAGAUUUGUUAAAGACAAACUAGUGCGAAAGCAUUUGCCAAGGAUGUUUUCAUUAAUCAAGAACGAAAGUUAGGGGAUCGAAGACGAUCAGAUACCGUCGUAGU